rnacentral:rRNA from 1 species
CCUACGGGAGGCAGCAGUGGGAAUCUUAGACAAUGGGCGCAAGCCUGAUCUAGCCAUGCCGCGUGAGUGAUGAAGGCCUUAGGGUCGUAAAGCUCUUUCGCCUGUGAUGAUAAUGACAGUAGCAGGUAAAGAAACCCCGGCUAACUCCGUGCCAGCAGCCGCGGUAAUACGGAGGGGGUUAGCGUUGUUCGGAAUUACUGGGCGUAAAGCGCACGUAGGCGGAUUGGAAAGUUGGGGGUGAAAUCCCGGGGCUCAACCCCGGAACUGCCUCCAAAACUAUCAGUCUAGAGUUCGAGAGAGGUGAGUGGAAUUCCAAGUGUAGAGGUGAAAUUCGUAGAUAUUUGGAGGAACACCAGUGGCGAAGGCGGCUCACUGGCUCGAUACUGACGCUGAGGUGCGAAAGUGUGGGGAGCAAACAGGAUUAGAUACCCUGGUAGUCCACACCGUAAACGAUGAAUGCCAGUCGUCGGGCAGUAUACUGUUCGGUGACACACCUAACGGAUUAAGCAUUCCGCCUGGGGAGUACG